AUUUCCUACAUUUGACCCUCGAACAGGCGAAGCUAUUACUACGGUUGCGGAGGCCGACACUGAAGAUGUCAACCGUGCAGUCUCUGCUGCCCGUAAAGCAUUUGAUGAAGGACCAUGGCCUAAAAUGACUGCUUAUGAAAGGUCAUGUAUAAUGUUGCAGUUUGCUGAUUUGCUUGAGAGGCACAGUGAUGAACUUGCAGCACUUGAGACUUGGGAU
rnacentral:misc_RNA from 1 species